GCGCCCGUAGCUCAGUAUGGAUAGAGCGCGGCUCUCCUAAGGCCGGCGUGGUUGGUUCGAAUCCA
rnacentral:tRNA from 1 species